rfam:Cavia porcellus supercont2_99 genomic scaffold, whole genome shotgun sequence.
AUCAUUGCAUAGGGGCAGUAUUGUAGUCAGUGAGGUUUUUCUGAGGCGUAAUUACUGUUAAUUGAAAAUUUUUCUUCAGAAGUUUGUUAUAUACAGAAAUGGAGUUAAAACUGAAAUAUUACAUUUAGACACCUGUUU